rnacentral:lncRNA from 1 species
UCGGCCAGGCCUGAGAUGCCGGGAGGGUUUGACCCUGGGGCUGCAUGGACAGCUUAGCGCUCGGCCGCUGGCGACAGCGGAGGGCGGAGGAUCUGCAGGUUCCGGGGGACGUGACAUGUUUUGAGCGCCUGCUGUGUCUCAAGCCCUGUCCUAGGCACUGGAGAUGAGAUGAAGAAACGAUGAGUAGAGGCCUUGCUUACGUUUAUCCUGCAACUCAUGAUGAGGCUUACUCUGCAACUCCAGUGCUCGGCUUUUUACACAACAGAGUCUCUGUUGCCCAGGCUGGAGUACAGUCGCACGAUCUUGGCUCACUGCAACCUCUGCCUCUCAGGUUCGAGUGAUUCUUCUGCCUCAGCCUCCCAAGUUGCUGGGAUUACAGGUAUGCUGGAGUUUGCUGGAGGUCCACUCCAGACCCUGUUUGUCUGGGUAUCACCAGCAGAGGCUGCAGAACACCAAAGAUUGCUGCCUGUUCCUUCUUCUGGAAGCUUCGUCCCAGAGGGGCACCUGCCAGAUGCCAGCUGGAGCUCUCCUCUAUGAGAAACGGGUAUGCAGGAGAUUAGAAGCCAGUGGGCAUGAGCGUGGCUGCCACCAGGUGAAUGCCUGUGCCCUGGCGUCCUGGGGCCCAGAGGACCGGGAGCUUCCAUCAAGAGGCUGCCUCCCAGCACCAAGGCCAGAGAGUGGCCAGGGGAGGCUAAGUACAGGGAUUUCUCAGAAUGGUGGAAGGAGCUCAGCCCAGCCUUGCCCAAGAUGUAUUGCAGGGGAAUCUAUGGAGUUUUGCUCUCGUUGCCCACGCUGGAGUGCAAUGGCAUGAUCUCAGCUCACUGCAACCUCCGCUUCCCAGGUUCAAGCGAUUCUCCUGCCUCAGCCACCCAAGUAGUUGGGAUUACAGGGACAUUUUAGCCAUACCAAGAAUCAUUAGAAGAUGCAAGCUGGAAAAAAGAAGGUCCCAGUUUUGGUUUUGAACCCUUCAUGUUGCAGCAAAUGUGAAUCUCCUACAGAUGGGUUUGGGGACUUACCUGUUCAAAUAGCAGCCCGGUGUCCUCUGUGGGUGGGGGGAGGUUUGUCUGUCCUUUCAUUCUAGUAAAUCCACCAUCCUCUGCACGAGAGCCAGGAGAAUCCACAUCACUUCAAAAGAGCCCCCAAAUCCUUACUACGUACUACAGCCUCCUUUCGAAUGUUCCUGGUUGAGAGGGAGAUCAAUUGCAUUAUUUACAAGUCAAAAAAUUUUGUAUCAAACUUCCUAUGAGCUUGGGCACUCAUGGCCUAUGGAGGCCCACCCAGACGCAGCCCCGCCAUCAUGCUUUUUCGUUGUUUUGUGGAUGUACCCAGGGCUAUUUACACACUCUUUCAUUAAAAGGCUUAUUUUUAUAUUUAAA